rnacentral:rRNA from 1 species
ACUUUACAAUGCAGGCAACUGUGAUAAGGGAACCCCGAGUGCCCGUAUGGACGGGCUGUUCAGGUGCUUAAAAACCACCUGGAGAAAGGGCCGGGCAAGACCGGUGCCAGCCGCCGCGGUAAUACCGGCGGCUCGAGUGGUGGCCACUAUUACUGGGCUUAAAGCGUCCGUAGCUUGGUCGUUAAGCCUCUGGGGAAAUCUUCCGGCUCAACCGGAAGGCGUCUCAGGGGAACUGGCGGCCUAGGGAUCGGGAGAGGUGAGAGGUACUCUGGGGGUAGGAGUGAAAUCCUGUAAUCCUCAGGGGACCACCUGUGGCGAAGGCAUCUCACCAGAACGGGUCCGACAGUGAGGGACGAAAGCUGGGGGAGCAAACCGG